GCAGCCAAUAAUUCAGUUAAUUUACCAAGUGAUUUACCCUUCAAAGCUACAGGGGUAGCUUUCCUGAAGAGUGCAAAAACUUCUUUAGCUUUCAAAAUGGUAUAUAGUACAAACAGUGAAGCUAAUAUAGACACAUCUGAUCAUUCAUCAUCAACAAUAACUGCAUCUGAGAAUUAUAGUUCUACAGUAACCGUGGAGUCUAGGUCAACAAUUACUAUUUCUCAUCCAAGCCGUUUUUGUUUAACUGCUACACAUUCCCUGACUCUGCCAAGGAAAAGGGUAAAAUCAAAAUGAUAUCCUGAGGACCUAAGCACUGAUGAUUCCACCGUUUCAAGAGCUUAAUCACUUGUCACCAGAUUAUGGAAAAAAAAUAAAGAACAAAAAAUUAAAAUUCGAAGAUUGCAACAAGCAAAUUUGCGCCAAAGAAAUUGAAUUAGAUGUCUCAAGUCAUUAUUAAAAUACUUACAUGAAAUAAUAACAUGAUUUUAUGGAAAAGCCCAACAUACUACAUAUUUUAUUUGACUUGUAAAAGCACUUGUUUGUAUAUUACUACUAAUAAACUCUCUAAUCUAAUCUAUUGUA